rnacentral:rRNA from 1 species
UCGACGAUAUCAAGUUGAAACACCAGUUCUCGUACGAUCACCGAAGUUAGGCAACACCGAGCCUGGCCAGUACCUAGAUGGGUAACCGCUUGGCAAUACCAGGUGCUGUAAG